UACAGAGGUCUCAAGCGUUGUUCGGAUUCAUUGGGCGUAAAGGGUGCGUAGGCGGCCUGCUAAGUCGAACGUGAAAUCCCCGGGCUCAACCCGGGAACUGCGUCCGAUACUGGCAGGCUUGAAUCCGGGAGAGGGAUGCGGAAUUCCAGGUGUAGCGGUGAAAUGCGUAGAUAUCUGGAGGAACACCGGUGGCGAAGGCGGCAUCCUGGACCGGCAUUGACGCUGAGGCGCGAAAGCCAGGGGAGCAAACGGG
rnacentral:rRNA from 1 species